ACAAGCAUACAUCCGUGUUUCAGAAACAAAGUACGGAUUUAAGAAAACAAAUGAAAUGGAAGAAUAGCAAGAUGACAAUUAUGUUCAUUGUUUUUCUUAUUGCUAUUAU
rnacentral:ribozyme from 14 species